GCCUUGCCGCGUGCCACGAUGCCCGGUCGAGUGCCUUGCCGCGUGCCAAGUUGCCCGGUCGAGUGCCUUGCCGCGUGCCACGAUGCCCGGUCGAGUGCCUUGCCGCGUGCCAAGAUGCCCGGUCGAGUGCCUUGCCGCUUGCCAAUAUGCCCUGUCGUGUGCCUUGCCGCUUGCCAAUAUGCCCUGUCGUGUGCCUUGCCGCGUGUGCCAAGAUGCCCUGCCGUGUGCCAUUAUGACUCCUCGAGCAUGGCAUGUCUGUUCAUGGCACUUGGGUUUUCCUUCCUAAUGCUAUUAUAGGGGGGUAGAGGCUUUCGCAGACCUUGCCCGACUUGCCAUGUUGCCUUGUCGCUUGCCUUGUUGCCUUGCCGCGUGCCUUGUUGCCUUGCCAUGUUGCCAUGUCGCUUGCCCGACUUGCCAUGUUGCCUUGUCGCUUGCCCGACUUGCCAUGUUGCCUUGUCGCUUGCCCGACUUGCCUUGUUGCCUUGCCCACCGCAUGCCCUUGACUAGCAACAUGACGUGCCAUGAUGCUUUGCCCGAUACACCGCAUGGCCUUGCUUGGAUAAUAACGUCACGUGCCAUGUUCCCUUGUCGCAUGCCUCUCCUCUUCCAUAACACCGCAUGGCCUUGCUUGGACAGCAACACGACGUGCCUUGUUCCCUUGUCGCAUGCCUCUCCUCUCCCAAAACACCACAUAACCUUGCUUGGAUAGCAACAUCAUGUUUCAAUUUUCCACUAUUUUUCCUAUUUUUUGUUUUUAAUCAAUUAAUUUCAACAAAUAAUAAUUACUCGUAUUUUUUCGUGAUUUUUCUCUAUUUUUAACUAUUUUUAACUAUUUUUCCCUAUUUUUUUGCUAAAAAAAUAAUAAAUAAUUAUUUUAUUGCACAAAAAAAUAUAAUAACUAUUUUUCACAAUGUUAAUAAUUAUUUGUUUGCAUUUUGAUCGGUUAUUUCAAAAGAAAAUGAGUUUUGCUUCACAAAACCCCCAUUAUGACUCCUCGAGCAAAAGGAUGUCUGUUCCUGUCACUAUGAAUUUGCUUCCUAAUGCUAUUAUAGGGGGGGGUGAGGUCUCUGAGGGGCUUGGCCCUCGGAGGUUGCCGCAUGCCUCCCCCGACACACCCAUGCACUUGCACGAGCACACCAACGUGCAUUUCCUUUUCCCAAGUCGUGGCACGCCGGUGCCGGUGCCGGCGCCGACGCCGACGCCGACGCCGGUUUUUU